AAGGGAGACCUAAUUCGGGUAGAAGACGAAAAAAUAGUAGUCGAAACCAAGAAUCAAUCCCAAAAGGUCGGAACGAGGUAUGUGGCUUUCAAACUAGGUUCUGGGUUCACAAAAGACCUGAAUCAGGAACAAGGGCUAUUAGCUCAGGUGGUUAGAGCGCACCCCUGAUAAGGGUGAGGUCCCUGGUUCGAGUCCAGGAUGGCCCACCUGCACAGGUGGCAAAAACAAGAGAAACGAGGAAUCAGCACCUUAUCUUAUAUACAUAUAUAAGAGAGAAUGCUGGCUCUGAGUUCAGAGUCCAGAGGAACCUUGAAAACUGCAUAGAGCUAGGUGAAAAAGCCAAAAAAGAAGACCGCAAGGUCAAGCUAAUAAGGGCUAACGGUGGAUACCUAGGCAC
rnacentral:tRNA from 1 species